AUGGCUGGCAUGGACAGUGGCAACCUGAAGACGGUGAGGCUGUGGCGGGACGCCGCCCUGCGCGCCAGGAAGCUGCGGAGCAACCUGCGCCAGCUCACCCUCAGCUGCUCGGGGGCCGGAGCCGAGCCGCUGGAGUCUCCGGACACCCCUCAGCUCGUGCUGCCCGCCAACAUCGGGGACAUUGAGGUGCUGAACCUGGGGAACAACGGUCUGGAGGAGGUGCCCGAAGGGCUGGGCUCGGCUCUGGGCAGCCUGCGCGUCUUGGUCCUGCGCAGGAACCGCUUUGCUCGGCUGCCUCCCCCCGUGGCCGAGCUCGGCCACCACCUCACCGAGCUGGAUGUGAGCCACAACCGGCUGGCUGUCUUGGGCGCCGAGGUGGUGAGCGCCCUGAGGGAGCUGCGCAAACUCAACGUGAGCCACAACCAGCUGCCCGCGCUGCCCGCCCAGCUGGGCGCCCUCGCCCACCUGGAGGAGCUGGAUGUCAGCUUCAACCGGCUGGCGCACCUGCCCGACUCCCUCUCCUGCCUGUACCGCCUGCGAACCCUGGACGUGGACCACAACCAGCUCACGGCCUUCCCCAGGCAGCUGCUGCAGCUGGCGGCCCUGGAGGAGCUGGACGUGUCCAGCAACCGGAUGCGAGGCCUACCUGAGGAUAUCAGUGCCCUGCGUGCCCUCAAGAUCCUGUGGCUGAGCGGGGCCGAGCUUGGCACCCUGCCCGACGGCUUCUGCGAGCUGGCUAGUUUGGAGAGCCUCAUGCUAGACAAUAACGGGCUGCAGGCUUUGCCCGCCCAUUUCAGCCGCCUGCAAAGGCUCAAGAUGCUCAACCUCUCUUCCAACCUUUUUGAGGAGUUUCCUGCCGCGUUGCUGCCCCUGGCUGGUCUGGAGGAGCUCUAUCUUAGUCGAAACCAGCUCACCUCAGUGCCAUCCCUUAUCUCAGGGCUGGGCCGGCUUCUCACCCUGUGGCUAGAUAAUAACCGCAUCCGCUACCUGCCCGACUCCAUUGUGGAGCUGACGGGCCUGGAGGAGCUGGUACUGCAAGGCAACCAGAUAGCCGUGCUGCCUGACAACUUUGGCCAGCUCUCUCGGGUGGGCCUGUGGAAGAUCAAGGACAACCCACUGAUCCAGCCACCCUACGAAGUCUGCAUGAAGGGGAUCCCCUACAUCGCAGCCUACCAGAAGGAGCUGGCUCAUUCCCAGCCCGCUGUGCAGCCCCGCCUCAAGCUGCUCCUGAUGGGUCACAAGGCUGCAGGAAAGACCCUGCUCCGCCACUGCCUCACUGAGGAGAGAGUGGAAGAAGGGCAAGCAGUAGGGGACAUGGAGAAGAGCUACCCACCUUCUCCUUCUUCUGGGAGCAAGGGCAUCGAGGUGACCAGCUGGACCGCGGAUGCUUCCCGGGGUCUGCGGUUCAUUGUGUAUGACCUAGCUGGUGAUGAGAGCUAUGAGGUGAUCCAGCCCUUCUUCCUCUCCCCCGGGGCCUUGUAUGUGCUCGUGGUUAAUUUGGCCACCUAUGAACCACGGCGCUUUCCCACCACGGUGGGCUCCUUCUUGCAUCGAGUCGGGGCGCGGGUCCCUCAUGCUGUGGUGUGCAUUGUGGGCACACACGCAGACCUGUGUGGGGAGCGGGAGCUAGAGGAGAAGUGUCUGGAUAUCCACCGCCAGAUCGCCCUGCAGGAGAAGCACGAUGCAGAGGGCCUGAGCCGGCUAGCCCAGGUAGUGGACGAAGCCCUGGCACGGGACUUUGAGCUGCGCUCUGCCAGCCCCCAUGCAGCCUAUUACGGUGUUUCAGACAAAAACCUUCGGAGGCGCAAGGCCCACUUUCAAUACCUGCUCAACCACAGGCUGCAAAUCCUCUCCCCAGUGUUGCCUGUUAGCUGCAGGGAUCCCCGCCAAUUGCAACGCCUUCGGGACAAGCUGCUCUCUGUAGCUGAGCACCGAGAAAUCUUCCCCAACCUACACAGAGUCCUUCCUCGAUCCUGGCAGGUGCUGGAGGAACUGCAUUUCCAGCCACCUCAGGCACAACGACUUUGGCUAAGCUGGUGGGACUCUGCACGCCUGGGCCUGCAGGCGGGUCUGACCGAGGACCGACUGCAGAGUGCCCUUUCCUACCUGCACGAGAGCGGCAAGCUGCUCUACUUUGAGGACAGCCCGGCCCUCAAGGAGCACGUCUUCCACAACCUCACCCGCCUCAUUGACAUCCUCAAUGUCUUUUUCCAGAGGGAUGCUUCUUUGCUGCUUCAUAAACUGCUCCUGGGGACCAGUGGAGAGGGCGAGGGGGAGGGGGAAAGCUUUCCUGCUUUGGUGGUGCCCACCCCAGGCCAGGACCUGCUCCGGGCCACCCAGCUCCAUCAUUAUGUGGAGGGUUUUCUGCUGCAUGGGCUCCUGCCAGCCCAUGUCAUUCGGUUGCUGCUUAAGCCUCAUGUCCAGGCCCAGCAGGACUUGCAGCUGCUGCUGGAGCUGCUGGAGAAGAUGGGACUCUGUUACUGCCUCAAUAAACCUAAGGGCAAGCCUUUGAAUGGGUCCACUGCUUGGUACAAGUUCCCAUGCUAUGUGCAGAAUGAGGUGCCACAUGCAGAGGCCUGGAUUAAUGGGACUAAUCUAGCUGGACAGUCUUUUGUGGCCGAGCAGUUGCAGAUCGAAUAUAGUUUCCCUUUUACCUUUCCACCUGGGUUGUUUGCACGCUACAGUGUCCAGAUCAAUAGCCACGUGGUCCACAGGUCAGAUGGUAAAUUUCAGAUCUUUGCAUAUAGAGGGAAAGUUCCUGUGGUGGUGAGUUACAGACCUGCCAAGGGGAUCCUGCAUCCAGACACCCUGUCCAUUGCCAGCCAUGCGUCGUUACCAAAUAUAUGGACCGCAUGGCAAGCCAUCACUCCCUUGGUAGAAGAACUGAAUGUCCUACUUCAAGAAUGGCCUGGACUGCACUACACCGUGCACAUCCUCUGUUCUAAGUGCCUUAAGAGAGGGUCGCCCAAUCCACAUGCUUUCCCAGGGGAGUUGCUGAGCCAGCCCAGGCCCGAAGGAGUGGCAGAGAUCAUCUGCCCCAAAAAUGGCAGCGAGCGAGUGAAUGUGGCCUUGGUUUACCCACCUACACCAACUGUGAUCAGUCCUUGUUCCAAGUAUCUUCAUACUUUCUUGGAACAUUAAGUGGAAAAGAUAGUGCUUCUUUCCCUUAUGCCAUCAUUUUUACUGUACCAAAUCUGUGACUUUAGGAGCACCAAAUUUUAAGGGAAGAACGUUGGUGAAAAGCACAGAAACCAGUGACUGUUGUGGCGGUGGAAUUUCCAGAAAGAAAACAGCAUGGGAACUCAACCGGGUCACCUUCUGUACCUGGCGAGCCUCCACGUCCUCCAGCUCCUUCUGGGAGCCAGAGUAGUGCGCAUUCGGGGCGCGUCGAACCCAUGGAGAACUGUGGAGGGCCUGCGGCGAUGCACGAGAACAUGGAGCAAACGUUUCACAACCUGAACCUCAGAACUGUGAUCCUCCAAGGAGAGCGCUACUUGAAGAAAAGAAAAAAUAAGUUGAAUGGCUUCUCAGGGAUUUUGUUUUCUGUGUACACAUAAGCCAUAGUUACAGUACAGGUGGCAGUGUUUAGAGCACUCGGAUUUCAGUUCUGUUCAAUGUGAAAGAGGGAUCGACUGAUGUUCAUUGCUGUUCCGUAACUAGUGUAAAAAAUAUAUAUGUUAAUCUUUAUUUUUAUAAUAUGCAAAUACAUUUAAAUUUAUACAGUUUGAAGCUUCUAGCAUUAGUUAACACUGGGUGCAAUAUUUUGCAUGAGAACUGUGCCAAGAUGGGGUUGAUUUCUUAUUUUAGCCUAAGACAUUUUUUUUGUUCUUUCCUUUUUUUUAACCCACUUUCUCAGACUAAAAGGAAAGCAAUGGGGCACCACCUACCUGUUAGUCCAUUCUUUGUGGGUUCAUAGAGCUUUGCCACGGUCAGCAAGAUCCAGCAACCCAUUUCAUUCAGAAAGUGUCCCUUCCCAUGUCUUGAUUAAAGGCCCUUGCCGGUGAGUGGUCAGGCUGGGUGACUGCAUGAUCAGUAUUCUCUCCCCACUAACCGUCAUUGCCAGGGCAGAGAGAGGACACUGUUAAGGGCCAAAGGGGAACAAGAAACUGUGGAAAACCUGAGUCUUACGACAAUCAGGGGUCAAUUCUGAGUCAUGCAGGUGCUUUGCUCUUAAUUACCUUUCUUUUUCUAGAAUGGGACACAAAAUGUAGCAGAGUGUUUUGGGAGCCUUCCACAUCUGGCGGAGGACCUCCAGGCAGUGGGCUUCCUUGGGCAGCACGGUCCCACACAGACUGUUUAUUCACACAGUGCCACCUGUUGGAUGAUCUGCUGCCAGGAUUCGUAAAACCCUGGUUUUGAAAUCUCUGAGAGCUAAAACUUAAAAACAAACCCAAGAAAUUGUUCUCCAGUGUCCUAAUUGAGGCCAAACAGCAUAUGCUGUGGUAGUAACACAUUCUCUGAAGAUGUAAAGGACUCUGUUUACAUCUGCCUCUCUGUGUUGAUAGAAAAUGUGUGAAACUCACUGUUUCUCACCAGUGUCAGACAAGAAAAAUGAGUCAUCUGCCACUCUUAUUUAUAUGUUUAUAAAGUGUUGACUUUAUGAAUGUUGGUCUCUUUAUGAAUACCAUGGUCUCCACAUAGCUUUACAGAAGAGAGGAGCAAGCGGCCUGCAAAUCAGCUGUGUAGACUAGAAUCUGGCCAGCUAACGUCACUGCCUCUUGAGCCCCUGCUUCACAAAUACGAUUUAUUAGUAUGGUCAUGAAACCAAGUGAAAACCCACCAUUUUGGUUCUUUUAAUACUUGAAUAUGACACAUCAAGUUUGAGAUUUUAUGCUCCCUUAAGACCACAUCACAAGAUGGACCCUUUUGUCACAGUUCUCGUGUGUGUGUGCAAGUGUAAACUGAAUGGUAGCAUUUAAUUACUUUGUGGACCAUUGGAUUAUUCGGCAAUAAGUUUUUGUUUUUUUAAUUGGCACCAGACAAUUCCUAAGCUGUCAGCUCAACCAACUUUGACCUGUCUUGACAAAGUCUUGAAUGAUGUCAGGCUCCCUCCACAGAGGACCAUAUGAAAUGAAAAUGAUGCUCCUUGGGGCGACUCACCCUGCAAGUGUUUGCUAUUUUCAUGAACAUGUUCUGAAUAUCUGCUGUUUUUUUUUUUUUGACCAGUGAUGUUUUGUGCUGUCAUCUGAACCCUAGAGAAGCAGUAUAUAUGGAGACAUUGGUGACGCGUGUGUUUUCACCAAAGGGUCAUCAUGGUAGAGGGUCAUAUGACCAAGAGAAGCUCCAGCAAAGCGUGAGAAUUGCUUUGGGGUAGGGGGAGGGUUGGAGAUCCAGAGAACACUCUGCUCCACAGGAAUUCUCCAUCUAGACAGGAAGUUCUGUUUCCUCUGCCAACACCUAGGCAGCCUCAGCACUCAGCCGCUGCCGGGCCGUUCACUAAGCACAAGAGCUUGUUCUACCCAAGGGGUCCCUCGCCUCGCAAACAAAUGCCCUCCAAGUUUGUGAUGGCUUCUAUUCCUGCAACUUGUGGUAUCAGAACCACUUCCCGGAAUUGUAAAAGUGCUGCCAGGAUAAAUGUUUUCCCCUUUCUAAGAAAAUAAAAGUGACAGUGCUCAUAUUUGACCAUUUUGCACUGGACUCUCUUUAAUGCAUACAGAGGAAAAGCUUGACGUGAUUCCUGAUGGAGUGUGUGGUUUUCAUGCCACAGUCUGUGAAUUGUAAUUGUGGUUUCCCAAUUCUUUGUCCUAUCAGAGCAGAAUUUUUUAAAAAUUCAAUAAAAAUGCAAUGAAAUGAUUAA